ensembl:lncRNA
CUCAUUGCAGAGCUCAAGUCUUUCCUCACCAUCAUGUGAAUGUGAGAUUGCUCUGGAUUCUGGUUAUGUGGACUGCAGCACCUAUAAGAACAAGCUCGUCCAGUGUGCCUGCAUUCCAGCUUCUUAGACUCUACGCAAGUGGACAGAGUAUCAGUGCUUGGCCACUCUUACAGACACCGACUUCUGUCAACUCACUGCUACUGAGCAGGCACCUCACUCCAGGAAAACAGAGGGCUGCAAGCCUGUCAUCGUUUCCAGUGUGGCUUUGUAUUCUUGGGGUAGCAUCAGAUUUUUCCCACAAAUAUUCAAAGGUAACACUUAUUUUAAGCUUAGUUAUUAAAUCAAAAGUCUUCCCUUGUGUUAAUUACAUUUUAUUUGUUUUUGUUUUCUUUUAGAUUUAUAUGCAGUUAUUGGAUGUGGUGGAGCUUUCUUAACUGUGUGGAAAACAUCUGUUUGUGAUGAUAUUUACAAUGAGGCUUUAAGGUGACAGUUUCCAUGUAAUUUCAAUCCUUUUACUAAGCAAAAACAUGUUUGCAAUUAACAUAUUUUUUUCAGUUUUGUCUUUUGGAUUUAUGGUUAACAUUCCUCUGUGAUAGCAAAUACUAAACUGGUCCAAGUAACCAGCAUAUCAUUGGUCAAAGGCAAAAAGGACCACAUGUCACGCUAGCAAUGAAUUUUUGACUGUGUUUGUGUCACCAGAUUUAACAAACAAUAUCAGACAUAUGAAACUGAACUCUGGAUUAAUGUGCAGAUAUAUUGUUUUUUUUGUUUUGUUUUUAUUGUUGAAUAAUUAUUUUGUAGGACAAACCGAAUCUAUUUACCCAAACAAUGUAAUUUGUUUGGUUAAAUAGUGGAUUA